rnacentral:tRNA from 4 species
AGUUAAUUAGUUUAAAGAAAAUACUUGGUUUCGACCCAAGAGCUUGCAGUUAAAGUCCGCAAUUACCUA